rnacentral:lncRNA from 10 species
GGGGCAGGGAGGGAAGGUCCCGGCGGCCGGCCGGCCUCGGGGCUGUUUUUGUCCGCUUUCCGGGGGUCGUGAGGGGCCGGUGGCCCGGCAACAGUGGCUUCAGUUACCACAGGACAACACAAGAUAUACAGCCCAUGGCAUAUCCAGUAACCAGGAAAACAAGCAUUCUCACGACCCAGCCGAACUCCUUCUAACCAUCAACCUGAAAUUCCAGCUUUAUCAAGACUCAUAAAGUAAUUGUGCAUGCUUCUUGCUCAAUCCCUACCAGGAAACCUGUAUCUACCAGGAGUUGUCAUAGAAUAAGAAGUUCAAAAGCUGGAAGAAAUCUUCAGGGUCAUAAUUUCAGCCUCCUGCUUCCAGACAGAACUAUUUCUCCACCACUGAAAUGCAUAUAGAUUUUGAAAAAAUUUCCAGACAUAACCUUUCUUAAGUGUUUGGUUUCAGGAGUCCUGGUAGAGUAUAUAAAAAUGAUGACAUUCUUUGCUAUAUAUUUGAAAAAAUUUUUUAAACUUCUGAAAAACUGAUUGUAUUCUUUUUGUUCUGAUGAAAAGAUGUAAAUUCAGAAGAAAACAAUAAGAAGAUGAAAUAAACUCAGGAUGAGGAAAAUAAUCUAAAAAUAGUUAUUAAAAUUGAAAUUUCCUCCUAUGAAAAUUUGGAUUUCUGAUACUUAAAAAUAUAUGUCUACAUUAUGAAUACAACCAGUAAAAAAAUCAUGUGUUAUAAAGACAAGAACUAGCAGAGAUCACAGGAAAAUAAAAGGUUUGAUUUGCUGAAGUGA